rnacentral:rRNA from 1 species
GAUGAACGCUGGCGGCGUGCCUAAUACAUGCCAGUCGAGCGAACAGACGAGGAGCUUGCUCCUCUGACGUUAGCGGCGGACGGGUGAGUAACACGUGGAUAACCUACCUAUAAGACUGGGAUAACUUCGGGAAACCGGAGCUAAUACCGGAUAAUAUAUUGAACCGCAUGGUUCAAUAGUGAAAGACGGUUUUGCUGUCACUUAUAGAUGGAUCCGCGCCGCAUUAGCUAGUUGGUAAGGUAACGGCUUACCAAGGCCACGAUGCGUAGCCGACCUGAGAGGGUGAUCGGCCACACUGGAACUGAGACACGGUCCAGACGCCUACGGGAGGCAGCAGUAGGGAAUCUUCCGCAAUGGGCGAAAGCCUGACGGAGCAACGCCGCGUGAGUGAUGAAGGUCUUCGGAUCGUAAAACUCUGUUAUUAGGGAAGAACAAAUGUGUAAGUAACUAUGCACGUCUUGACGGUACCUAAUCAGAAAGCCACGGCUAACUACGU